rnacentral:rRNA from 1 species
UACGUAGGGGGCUAGCGUUGUCCGGAAUCAUUGGGCGUAAAGCGCGUGUAGGCGGUCCGGUAAGUCCGCUGUGAAAGUCGGGGGCUCAACCCUCGGAUGCCGGUGGAUACUGUCGGGCUUGAGUACGGAAGAGGCGAGUGGAAUUCCAGGUGUAGCAGUGAAAUGCGUAGAUAUCUGGAGGAACACCGAUGGCGAAGGCAGCCCCCUGGGCUAACACUGACGCUCAUGCACGAAAGCGUGGGGAGCAAACAGG